UACGUAGGGUGCAAGCGUUAAUCGGAAUUACUGGGCGUAAAGCGUGCGCAGGCGGCGCGUUAAGACAGGUGUGAAAGCCCCGAGCUUAACUUGGGAAUUGCGCUUGUGACUGGCGUGCUGGAGUGUGGCAGAGGGAGGUGGAAUUCCACGUGUAGCAGUGAAAUGCGUAGAUAUGCGGAGGAACACCGAUGGCGAAGGCAGGUCUCUGGGCAUUAACUGACGCUGAGGAGCGAAAGCAUGGGGAGCGAACAGG
rnacentral:rRNA from 1 species